rnacentral:rRNA from 1 species
CCAUACCAACCUUGAACACAGCCAAUUGUGUCAGAUUUCGGAAGCUGAAUCAGGGCAGGCCUGGUUCGUAUGUGGAUGGGAGACCACCAGGUAAUGCCAGGG